rnacentral:lncRNA from 1 species
GGGGGGCGGUGAAAACACUUACCAACAUCCUGGUCGAAGGGGUUGGUGGCAAAGAGAGGCAUGUCCGCUGCGUGCCGAGGUGUCCCCGGGGACUGCCCCUCGACCCCGCGGCACUCUAGGGGUGACGGAGAAAGGAGGCCCCUCAGCAUCAACAGGACUACUACAGUGACUGGGAUCACUACAGCUCGUUUUCAAUAUUUAACAAAGUUGCUCAGAGUCUGUCUGGCAAUGGAUGCUGGAAGUUGGCUGAGUCACUGGGGCUGUCUGCCGCACCAACUGCACAGAACAUGCUAUGUAUCGGCUUGGCUUCUCCCAGCAUACUGAAUGGACAUAAGUCAGAACGUUUCAAGAGACAAGAGAACGCCUCACAUUCCUUAAACUGUGGACCAGGAAGUGGGGAGAGGGUCACUUCAAUCAUACUCUAUUGCAGCCACAAUGACUUUCAACAAAUCGGCGUAGAGGGCAUGUUUAAAAGCUACCACAAUAUUGGACCCAAUGUUUAAGCAUUUUAUUUCAAAUCAUUUAUAUGCAUUGGCUCUUCAUAAUUAGUAGCUCCACGACAUUUAUUAAAUGGAAUAAAUGCAAUCUGCUAGGAUUAAAAUGGCAUAUUAUAAUUACUGGCCAUAAGGAAGUAACAAAAUCUGUGCUUUAUUGUAAGCAAAAUAAAACUGGGGAAAUUCAUAUGUUAUGGAUUAGAUUGAAAUGUGCCUUAAAGGCUCAUGUAUCCCCUCACUGGUGAUGCUAUUGAAGAUGGUGAGAUCAUGAGGAUGCUAACCUCAUCAAGGGAUACUGUUCAUAGCGGAACAGGAAGUGAGGUCUGGUCAGAGGAAGUAUAUCUUCAAAAUCCCUUCUUUAUCUCUCUAGCUCUGCUUCAUGGCCGAGGGGAAAUGGCAGCUUUGGC